CAGCUCUGGGCAGAGCUGUAGCAGUCUCUACGUCUCUAUCUAGUAUCAGUCUUUCGUCCCUUACAAAUACUGAAUUGUGUCGACUGGAUAAGCAUAUGGGUGCUGAAAACAAACGUACAGUAAACUUUGCAAUUCUUUAGCGGAUAAUUAGGAAAAUAAGAUGCAGAAUGAUCUCUUGGGGUGGUCUCUGUUUUGUUACGAGUUUGGAUCAGAGCACGCUAACAAGACUGCUUUUUUCAGGAUAUCGCCUCUCCAGAAGUCGGUAUUGCUACCCUGUUGGUUCUUGAGUUUUUGUUGUAACUCACAGCGUUAUUAUCGGAGUCCUAGUGUACACUUUCUGAACCGCAGCAUUUGAACCUCUGCAGAAUAUUUGGAAACAUAGCUGUCAUCUAUUCCAUAAACCGAGCAAUGUUAUUAUCUGCUUGAACUGUAUUCUCAGUACAAGAUUUUAACGUAUUUUUGAAAGUUUUCAUCUCGGAAGCACUUUUAUUGAAGUCAAUGAGAAUACUGCUAUGUAUAAAUAUUUCUUGGAAUCAGGCCCAGGAUACCUAUCCUGCUUUCUUUUUGAUAUUUCUUACAUGAAACUCUGAGAAUCUUCUGAAACUCUUGAGCAUCUUCUGUCACUGGGUGUGGUACAUAAAUACUCUUCUAAGCUCUUCCAUGGUUCUACCGGAGAGUUUUCAACCAAUGGCACAAUAUAAUAAAAACAAAUUAUUCGUCUUCUCACAUUGCUAAAUAUAUGCUAAAGAUGCUAAUCAUUGAUUGACUUUGGCUGUUUAAGACCUAAGUUUUAGCUUGUGCAUAUUUCAGCCAGACCACCUACCGUAUUCUCGGAGACACUCCUGCUUUCUCCCCCAAACUCUUCACUUUGACAACAGAGCGUGUUACUAAAUAACGCUGCAAGUCAAGUGACUGUCAACCAGCAGCCAGUGAAGUCUCCUCAUCCAUACCAGCUGAUAACCUAGCUGAAGCCGUAUGUGCAUUUAAGCCUUUGAAAGGAUCUCAUUCUGAAAGGAUCUAUUCUGUCACAGAGCUUAGCACAUUUACUCAUAUGUAUGGUGGCAAAUACGUCUGUGCAGCAAACCUUCUCCAAGAACUGCAUACUGGAAUAAGUUUUAGUUUGAAUUGUUCAGUGGAACAAAUUCCUGUAUCUUUGUCCUUCUGUAUUAAUACAGGGGCAUAUUUUGUCUAAAUAAAUGGACACAGUUCUCUGUCUGAUAAUCGUUCAUUAAACCAACUUAUGUGGCAUCAUUUGACUGGCCUUUCCAGGCCUGAGGAAUGGCUCUUGUUAGAUAUGUUCUUUUCAGACUAGCCUGAACGAGUAGAGUUGACAUGCCAUUGAAAUAUGCUGUCUAUCCACUCAGCUAUUAGCUAUAUCAUAAUAUCACAAUAUCAUCCUAAACAGAAUAUGUAGCUAGUACUUGGUUGACUAAUCAGUCUUUGCUGAUACAAGUAAAAUGAAAGAAAUUAAUAAUAUUCAUAAAUAUGCCUCAAAACACAUGCUUUGUCCAUGUUUCUAAUUAGGAAGAGCACAGAAGGAGAAAAACUCUUCGUCCUAAGAAAAUCUAAUUUCCUUAAAAGGAAAUUGAAUUUUAAAUUGUAUUUUGUUAUUUCAGUUUUUUUCUCUCAGCCAUGUCCAAGAAAAACACUCCGUUGACUUUAAAAAAUAAUAAUAGCAAAAAUCCAAGGGAUAAGGUCUUUGCUUCAUAGUUAAAAAUGAAGUUGUCUCUGGUCAAGAUAUUCUUGGUUAUAGGGGUGGUGCAAAAAGUGUUAAAAACCUCUCUUUGUUAUAUUACCAAUAAAUGCUAUCAUUUUAUUUUGCUAUAUUGGAACAACUGCUCUAGAGAAGGGCUCGUGUUAGACAUUAUAGAUGACAGAAUUUCAGGCAAGUCUGAAGAUAAUUAUCAGGCAAAAUAGAACAAAUUUACCCUAAACAGUUCAUUGGCUCACAACUUACCAGUUGGCUAAGUCUUAAGAUCUUUAAAGGAAAGCGGAUGCCUAGCAGUCAUAUGAUGAAAUAGCUGGUGGAUAGUUGUAGGAAGUUACAUAAGUUUUGGAUUUUACAAAAUAAAAAAUGCAACUGCCUAGUAUUAGCAGCCCAUAGAUGAAUGCUAUGGUUAACCAACAUACUACUUAAUAAUGCUAAAGUGACUGUAUUGCUUAUGCUAAAAUGACAGUUUAUCACACAGACACAAAAAACAAAUUAAAUUCAAUGCACACAAAUAAUUUCUCAUUUAUUCAAACAAACAUAGGUCAUAACUACCAUUCAUUUCCAAAGCAAAUUUGCAAAAAAAAGAGACAGAAUUGCCUUAAAUUUUCUUCCACAAACUCCCCUCCACCCCUGCAAAAAAAAUCCACAAAUACUUAAUGUCCCCAAACAUUUGGUUCUGGCAUCAAUCCACAACAUUUUCUAAGUAUUCAUUAAUGGUAUUAAGUUUGUAUGGCAGCAUUAUGGAAAGCAAUCAGCACUGUGUGUGAGUUCCUUUGAACUGAUAUCUCAAGCAGUAGAUGAUAAUGUUAUUAUUUUAAAUUAGGAGCUGAACCAUUUCUUCAUCUGCAUAUAUAUGUCUUAUGUAACUUUUAUUCCAGGCUACUUGCUGUAAAAAUCAUUAUUCUUUCUAUGUUAUUCUGAAACCAUGGACAUCUACAAGAUUCAAGUGUGAUGUUAUCAGUUUUUUUCUUAGGUAUUUGGCAGUUGUCAAGGGUUUUGAAACAAGAUUGAUACAUUUUUUUGCUUCCUUGUCAAACAGUUCAAACAAUUGUUUUAUAUGACGGAGUCAUUAAACACUUCACAUCACUUUAAAGCAUGGAAGUAGUCAUUUUGGCUUCAGCACUUGAAGUUACAUGCUGAAUCAACCAGUCCCCCACUGAAGCAAUAUAUAUUCAUGCAAAAUUGGAGGAAAAAGUCAUAUCCCUCUCUCCACAAAACAGUAUAAAAUGCCUGAACUUAAUAUAAAGCCUAGUGUUUUUUAUGAAGACCAUUCACAGUUAUUUGAAAACCAAGUAUUAAAUAUGUGGUUGUCAAGUAGAAUAAGGAUUCCGUGUCUGCCCUGGUACGAUAACAAACAAAAUGAAUGGAGGAAGGGCCAUGAAUGGUUCACUCACGGCUACAUACAUAAGGCACAACUAUGUCUGCCUUAGGGAAAGGCAGGGUUCCUACUUCUGUAAGUUGAGCUGCAUAAAAUUAGUUUUUGUUUAUAUUGCCCUGACCCCCAUAACAAUAGGAGUGAGUCAGCAGUGAAGGCAUUUGAAAAAUCCUGACACAUUUUACAAAACUAGUGGUAUUCCUUACAGAAAUACAUUACCUGAGAGGUUGGCAGAAAGACCCUUUCGUCUCUUCAUGUUGAUGGUUUGAUUCUUGCUAUGUAAGUAGAACAGUGUAGUGGUUAUAUUAAAUUGAUUAGCAAAUCACAGCCCAGUGUCGAGAAGAUGGCAAUCUCAUUACAAAAGUCCUUUGCAACUGGUAGUUUAAGCAGUGAGGCCAAGACUUUCUCAUCCCUAUAUGAGCUCUCCCAAAGCAGGAUCAUGAUACAUUGUCAAGCUGUUGGCUGCUGACUCUGUUAGGCCUGCCAUGUGGAUUAAUAGAAGCCUAUUGAUACAUUACCAUUCAUGGUGAAAAAAAGUCUCUAAAAUAGAACUUAUUAUUACCUCUGUGCUUUGAAAUGUUUAAGUUGAUUUGCUAAGCAACUUGAAAACACUGUCCUGGACAGGGAGUGAUAUAGCUUGGUAGUAGUCACUUAUUCCGUGAUAUGCUGUUGGUUUGAGUAUUUGCUUGGAUUGCCAAAGCACACACGAAAGACACCAGCUGCUCAGGUCUAUCAGCAUGUGCUUGUUUUCUCUGCUUUCAGGUACAGUAGGUAGAAUUACUAUCUAUUGCAUAAUUUCACAGGUACUUUGGAUUUCACUGGGAAAUUUGAUGAGAAAGUUUAACAAGUAGAAACUGAGAAAGUUUUACAAGUACCAUACAUGUAGUUAGAGUCUUUAUAUACUGACAUGAAAUCAGUAACUAGGAGCAUGUUUUACAAUUGCAAAAUAUGCCUUUAAAGAACUAACACCGUGCCAGCCAUAUGGUAUGGCCUCAUUUGCUGCCUAAUCCUGAUAUUUCCUCAAAGUAGUCUCACCCAUGCUUUUUUGAUUUUGUUUACAGAAUAUAUUUACCAACUUUCAACAGUUCUAAAAAACAGGUAUUAUAUAACAGGAACCUGCAGAGAUCACCUGUUGAAAUCCUUUUUCUAAACAUGAAGAACAUAAUUGUUUUAUGUACAUAAAUAGCAUGUCACACAAUUUUUAAAUGAAUUGUUAUAUGUGGAUAAACUACCCAGGACAAGAAAGAACUAUUACUUAACCGUUCACAUCAGUUAAUGUAUGAUCUUAAAAAUGCAAUCUGAAAAACAUUAUUUAAAAUAUUUACAUAAUAGUUACCAGUUGGUACUCUGAUCACUUUUGUGUUCACAUCUGGCUUUUCCAGGCAGCAGCUAUUCCAUUGCAUUGCUGGAGCUUGAGAUCUGUGAAUGAAAAACAGUAGUAUCAUAAUAACUGAAAUGUAAAACUAAUACAAGCAAAAUAAGCAAUUAAUAUGAAUAUAAACUACAUCUGUACUAAUGCAUAAAGUUCAAGAAAGAAUGCAGAGCAAUUGGAAAUCUUCAUACAUGAGACAGUUGCAUGGCUGCUACUACUGAGAUUUGCUACAGGAGUUACAUGAUUGAAAUGUUGAAAUCAUUGGUGGAGACCUGUUUAGAAAGGACACGUUGGUAAAAUGGGGACAGUGGUUGAUUUUACACCGUUAUUGACAGCUCAAAGGUCAGAUGUUUUCUCUGGUAAAUGACUGGAUAAAGCACUGGUGGAAAACUUUUUUAAGACAGUCAGUUCAGAUUUAAAAGCCAAUGCAUUAAGAUGCUCAUCUCUUCUCUAAAACACCAAAAGAAAAACUGUUACCCAGAAGUGCAGUUACAAAGAUAUGUGCUAGAGGACUUGAGUCAACCACUGCAAUGGCUUUGGAUUUUCUACAGUUCCCAGCUAUCACUUCCUUUGCUACCAAAGUAGUGUAAGAAAUGAGCAAUUCUUUAUGACGUCUCAUUCUGGUAAUGCUCGUGUAAAUAUAAUUGCUAAAUUAGCAGUAAGUACAUUUAAGUUAUCAAUGAUCUGUUAAUGUCUUCUGUGCAAAUUGAACACAUACCUCUCUGGUAAUAGAUGUACUUAACAGUGUGAAAUCACCAGUUUCCCCAAGAAGAAAUUAUUAUUGCAGGGAGACAAUUAUGAGAAAAUGGAAAUAAAACAUAGCUAUGUUACAAUACCGAAAAAUCGAAACCAAACUGAAAAAAUAAAAGCUCAAAUUCCUUACUUUUGAAAAAAUGGCUACUUCCAACAAACACACUUUACUACAACAAUAAAGGUCUGAAGCAUGUUCAAUAUCUAAACAAUAAAAUAUU